AAAAACUGAUUCUCUUAAACAUUCAGCUCUAUUAAAAUGCCAUACUUAGUGAUGUUAUGGGAACUCCAGAGAAAUAACAGAAUAUGGGAAGAAAAAGAAACCAGAGGACUUCAAAGAGGAAGUCAAUCAAAGACAAAUGUUUCCAGCUGUGCCGUGUGAUCUCAUCAUGAUUCCAUCCGUUGUGAUGUAACCAAUGGGACCACACCACAAAAUGUGCAUCGCAUUUUGUUCAAAUGCUGGGAGUGUUUGCCUCAGAGCACAGGAAAACUUCACCACAACUCCAGGAAGGGUCAGUUUACUAGACAUGGCUACUUCAGCAGCCCAUGAGUCCACGGAGCACCGGUAA